GAAUAAGAAGCAAUUUUUGCAUUUAGUUUCGACCUAAAAAUUUGAUUUUAGUAUCCUUAUUUU
rnacentral:tRNA from 1 species